GCAGUUAAGGACACAGAAGUCUGCUUGUGUGAGGAGGUGGUUUUCUCAACUUCUUCUGAAGAGAGGGAAAGAUCGUUUAAGGCAAGUAAACUUCAUAAUUUCAUGUUAUCAGUUGUUGUGUUUUACUAAGAGUAAAAUAAUGUUUGUUUUUUGUUUUUGUAGAUGUUAAAAGCAAGAGACAUGGGAGAGCAUCAUUCCUUUGAGAUUUUAUAACUCAAACCAACUUUGGAGUUGUCUGAUUUGGAGAGUCAUUAUUCUUGGUCUUCGCUCUUAGAGGCCACUGAUGAAGAACAGGCGGUGACUGGAUGAAUCCUGGUCAGAGAGGAGAAUCUUCUUUCCCCUAAACAGCACUGGUUUUAAAGGAGGACGCUGCCCUGGAUGAUGUAGAAGAUGUCAGAUGCUGUGCAGAUGGGGUUUCUUCAUGAUUACUUCAGUUAUGCUAAAGAGAUCGUGAAAAUUGACUGUGAUGCAUGAUCUGUAUUCAUGGACUUUGAAACAAACUGUAAGUGUAUAAUUUGUUAAAAAAAAAAAAGUUAAAUGCUUUUUCUGUGUUGUUUAGUAGAAGAGUUUACACUCUGUCAUUCAUACACCUGCUCACAUUCUUUCACACACACAUACACACACAUGCGUCUGUUAAGUGUUAUAAUAUCAAAGUUAAUGUUGUGAUUUAUUUGUGUACUGUCAUGCCAGAAUAGUUGGAAAAAAACCUAACUAAUUGUAAAUUUAUUGUAUGUGUUUUCGUAUAUUUUUAUACAAUAUAUACAAUUGAACAAAGGCCAAUUUGAUCUUAAGUUAUAUUCAUCAAAUGUUCAAUGCUUUAUUUAUGAACUCUGUAGCUGUUAAUGCCAUCCUUUUCUGCAUUUCUUCUAACAUGUUACUUUUUGA